rnacentral:tRNA from 1 species
AGAGAGUUAGUCCAAAAUAAGACCCCUGAUUUCGGCUCAGAAAAUCGUGGUUAAACUCCACGACUCCCUU